rnacentral:rRNA from 1 species
AGUAACACGUGGGUAACCUGCCCAUCAGAAGGGAUAACACUUGGAAACAGGUGCUAAUACCGUACAACAAUCGAAACCGCAUGGUUUCGGUUUGAAAGGCGCUUUUGCGUCACUGAUGGAUGGACCCGCGGUGCAUUAGCUAGUUGGUGAGGUAACGGCUCACCAAGGCAACGAUGCAUAGCCGACCUGAGAGGGUGAUCGGCCACAUUGGGACUGAGACACGGCCCAAACUCCUACGGGAGGCAGCAUG